GCUGGUCGACCGGUAGCAGAGAAGCUUGCUUCUCUUGAGAGCGGCGGACGGGUGAGUAAAGCCUAGGAAUCUGCCUGGUAGUGGGGGAUAACGUUCGGAAACGGACGCUAAUACCGCAUACGUCCUACGGGAGAAAGCAGGGGACCUUCGGGCCUUGCGCUAUCAGAUGAGCCUAGGUCGGAUUAGCUAGUUGGUGAGGUAAUGGCUCACCAAGGCGACGAUCCGUAACUGGUCUGAGAGGAUGAUCAGUCACACUGGAACUGAGACACGGUCCAGACUCCUACGGGAGGCAGCAGUGGGGAAUAUUGGACAAUGGGCGAAAGCCUGAUCCAGCCAUGCCGCGUGUGUGAAGAAGGUCUUCGGAUUGUAAAGCACUUUAAGUUGGGAGGAAGGGCAUUAACCUAAUACGUUAGUGUUUUGACGUUACCGACAGAAUAAGCA
rnacentral:rRNA from 1 species